rnacentral:rRNA from 1 species
UGCAGUCGACGAUGAUGCCCAGCUUGCUGGGUGGAUUAGUGGCGAACGGGUGAGUAACACGUGAGUAACCUGCCCCUGACUCUGGGAUAAGCGUUGGAAACGACGUCUAAUACUGGAUAUGACUGCCGGCCGCAUGGUCUGGUGGUGGAAAGAUUUUUUGGUUGGGGAUGGACUCGCGGCCUAUCAGCUUGUUGGUGAGGUAAUGGCUCACCAAGGCGACGACGGGUAGCCGGCCUGAGAGGGUGACCGGCCACACUGGGACUGAGACACGGCCCAGACUCCUACGGGAGGCAGCAGUGGGGAAUAUUGCACAAUGGGCGAAAGCCUGAUGCAGCAACGCCGCGUGAGGGAUGACGGCCUUCGGGUUGUAAACCUCUUUUAGUAGGGAAGAAGCGUAAGUGACCGUACCUGCAGAAAAAGCACCGGCUAACUACGUGCCAGCAGCCGCGGUAAUACGUAGGGUGCAAGCGUUGUCCGGAAUUAUUGGGCGUAAAGAGCUCGUAGGCGGUUUGUCGCGUCUGCUGUGAAAUCCCGAGGCUCAACCUCGGGCUUGCAGUGGGUACGGGCAGACUAGAGUGCGGUUAGGGGAGAUUGGGAAUUCCUGGUGUAGCGGGUGGAAUGCGCAGAUAUCAGGAGGAACACCGAUGGCGAAGGCAGAUCUCUGGGCCGUAACUGACGCUGAGGAGCGAAAGCGUGGGGAGCGAACAGGAUUAGAUACCCUGGUAGUCCACGCCGUAAACGUUGGGCGCUAGAUGUAGGGACCUUUCCACGGUUUCUGUGUCGUAGCUAACGCAUUAAGCGCCCCGCCUGGGGGAGUACGGCCGCAAGGCUAAAACUCAAAGGAAUUGACGGGGGCCCGCACAAGCGGCGGAGCAUGCGGAUUAAUUCGAUGCAACGCGAAGAACCUUACCAAGGCUUGACAUACACCGGAAACGGCCAGAGAUGGUUGCCCCCUUGUGGUCGGUGUACAGGUGGUGCAUGGUUGUCGUCAGCUCCUGUCGUGAGAUGUUGGGUUAAAUCCCGCAACCAGCGCAACCCUCGUUCUAUGUUGCCAGCGCGUUAUGGCGGGGACUCAUAGGAGACUGCCGGGGUCAACUCGGAGGAAGGUGGGGAUGACGUCAAAUCAUCAUGCCCCUUAUGUCUUGGGCUUCACGCAUGCUACAAUGGCCGGUACAAAGGGCUGCGAUACCGUAAGGUGGAGCGAAUCCCAAAAAGCCGGUCUCAGUUCGGAUUGAGGUCUGCAACUCGACCUCAUGAAGUCGGAGUCGCUAGUAAUCGCAGAUCAGCAACGCUGCGGUGAAUACGUUCCCGGGCCUUGUACACACCGCCCGUCAAGUCAUGAAAGUCGGUAACACCCGGAAGCCGGUGGCCUAACCCUUGUGGAAGGAGCCGUCGAA